AUUGAACGCUGGCGGCAUGCUUUACACAUGCAAGUCGAACGGUAACAGGUCUUCGGAUGCUGACGAGUGGCGAACGGGUGAGUAAUGCAUCGGAACGUGCCCAGUCGUGGGGGAUAACGCAGCGAAAGCUGUGCUAAUACCGCAUACGAUCUAUGGAUGAAAGCGGGGGAUCGCAAGACCUCGCGCGAUUGGAGCGGCCGAUGUCAGAUUAGCUAGUUGGUGGGGUAAAGGCCCACCAAGGCGACGAUCUGUAGCUGGUCUGAGAGGACGACCAGCCACACUGGGACUGAGACACGGCCCAGACUCCUACGGGAGGCAGCAGUGGGGGAAUUUUGGGACAAUGGGCGCAAGCCUGAUCCAGCAAUGCCGCGUGCAGGAAGAAGGCCUUCGGGUUGUAAACUGCUUUGUACGGUAACGAAAAGGUACGUCUCUUAAUACGGGGGCGUCACGACGGUACCGUAAGAAUAAGCACCGGCUAACUACGUGCCAGC
rnacentral:rRNA from 1 species